CAGGUUUAAUCAUGGCUCAGGAUGAACGCUAGCUACAGGCUUAACACAUGCAAGUCGAGGGGCAGCAUGAACUUAGCUUGCUAAGUUUGAUGGCGACCGGCGCACGGGUGAGUAACACGUAUCCAACCUGCCGAUGACUCGGGGAUAGCCUUUCGAAAGAAAGAUUAAUACCCGAUGGCAUAGUUCUUCCGCAUGGUAGAACUAUUAAAGAAUUUCGGUCAUCGAUGGGGAUGCGUUCCAUUAGGUUG
rnacentral:rRNA from 1 species